rnacentral:rRNA from 1 species
AGUGAACGCUGGCGGUAGGCCUAACACAUGCAAGUCGAACGGCCGCACAGUAAGAGCUUGCUCUUACGGGUGGCGAGUGGCGGACGGGUGAGGAAUACAUCGGAAUCUACUUUUUCGUGGGGGAUAACGUAGGGAAACUUACGCUAAUACCGCAUACGACCUACGGGUGAAAGCAGGGGAUCUUCGGACCUUGCGCGAUUGAAUGAGCCGAUGUCGGAUUAGCUAGUUGGCGGGGUAAAGGCCCACCAAGGCGACGAUCCGUAGCUGGUCUGAGAGGAUGAUCCGCCACACUGGAACUGAGACACGGUCCAGACUCCUACGGGAGGCAGCAGUAGGGAAUAUUGGACAAUGGGCGCAAGCCUGAUCCAGCCAUACCGCGUGAGUGAAGAAGGCCUUCGGGUUGUAAAGCCCUUUUGUUGGGAAAGAAAAGCAGCAGGUUAAUACCCCGCUGUUCUGACGGUACCCAAAGAAUAAGCACCGGCUAACUUCGUG